AGCGAACGCUGGCGGCAGGCCUAACACAUGCAAGUCGAACGAACUCUCCGGAGUUUGUGGCGGUUGGGGGUGGAACACGUGGGAAGGUGCAUUUUGGUUCGGAAUAACUCAGGGAAACUUGUGCUAAUACCGAAUGUGCCCUUCGGGGGAAAGAUUUAUCGCAAUUGAAGCGGCGCGCGUCUGAUUUGCCAGUUGGUGAGGUAACAGCUGACCAAGGCGACGAUCAGUAGCUGGUCAGAGAGACUGACCAGCCACGCUGGGAGUAGGACACGGCCGAGACUCCUACGGGAGGGAGGAGUGGGGAAUCUUGCGCAAUGGCGUGAAGCCUGACGCAGUCCUGCCGGGUGAAUGAUGAAGGUCUUAGGAAAGUAAAAUUCUUUCACCGGGGACGGUAAUGACGGUACCCGGAGAAGAAGCCCCGGCUAACUUCGUG
rnacentral:rRNA from 1 species